rnacentral:rRNA from 1 species
GAUGAACGCUGGCGGCGUGCCUAAUACAUGCAAGUCGAGCGAGCAGACGAGGAGCUUGCUCCUCUGACGUUAGCGGCGGACGGGUGAGUAACACGUGGAUAACCUACCUAUAAGACUGGGAUAACUUCGGGAAACCGGAGCUAAUACCGGAUAAUAUAUUGAACCGCAUGGUUCAAUAGUGAAAGACGGUUUUGCUGUCACUUAUAGAUGGAUCCGCGCCGCAUUAGCUAGUUGGUAAGGUAACGACUUACCAAGGCAACGAUGCGUAGCCGACCUGAGAGGGUGAUCGGCCACACUGGAACUGAGACACGGUCCAGACUCCUACGGGAGGCAGCAGUAGGGAAUCUUCCGCAAUGGGCGAAAGCUUGACGGAGCAACGCCGCGUGAGUGAUGAAGGUCUUCGGAUCGUAAAACUCUGUUAUUAAGGAAGAACAAAUGUGUAAGUAACUAUGCACGUCUUGACGGUACCUAAUCAGAAAGCCACGGCUAACUACGUG